CCGAAUAAACGGGCCUCGAUCCCGCAAAAACCUAGUUAACAGCUAAGCGCCCAAUCCAGCGGGCUUCUAUCCGGGCAAUAAAAAAA
rnacentral:tRNA from 1 species